rnacentral:rRNA from 1 species
AUACGGAGGGUGCAAGCGUUACUCGGAAUCACUGGGCGUAAAGCGCGCGCAGGCGGUCUUUUAAGUUGGAUGUGAAAGCCUACGGCUCAACCGUAGAACUGCAUCCAAAACUAUUAGACUAGAGUGUGGGAGAGGAAGAUGGAAUUAGUUGUGUAGGGGUAAAAUCCGUAGAGAUAACUAGGAAUACCAAAAGCGAAGGCAAUCUUCUGGAACACUACUGACGCUGAGGCGCGAAGGCGUGGGGAGCAAACAGGAUUAGAAACCCCAGUAGUCC